GAUUCUGGCUCAGGAUGAACGCUAGCUACAGGCUAACACAUGCAAGUCGAGGGGCAGCAGGACGAUAGCUUGCUAUGUUGCUGGCGACCGGCGCACGGGUGAGUAACGCGUAUCCAACCUUCCCCUUAGUAGGGCAUAGCCCGGUGAAAAUCGGAUUAAUACCCUAUGUUGUGUCAUGAGGACAUCUGAAUAACACUAAAGAUUUAUCGCUAAGGGAUGGGGAUGCGUCCGAUUAGGUAGUCGGCGGGUAACGGCCCACCGAGCCCUCGAUCGGUAGGGGUCUGAGAGGAAGGUCCCCCACACUGGUACUGAGACACGGACCAGACUCCUACGGGAGGCAGCAGUGAGGAAUAUUGGUCAAUGGGCGUAAGCCUGAACCAGCCAAGUAGCCGUGCAGGAUGACGGCCCUAUGGGUUGUAAACUGCUUUUAUACGGGGAUAAAGUGAGGGACGUGUCCCUUAUUGUAGGUACCGUAUGAAUAAGGACCGGCUAAUUCCGUGCCAGCAGCCGC
rnacentral:rRNA from 1 species